CCUAUGGGUGGCUGCAGUGGGGGAUAUUGCACAAUGGGGGAAACCCUGAAGCAGCGACGCCGCGUGGAGGAUGAAGGAUUUCGGUAUGUAAAGCUCUAUUAGUAGAGAAGAAAAUGACGGUACCUGACCAAUAAGCACCGGCUAACUACGUGCCAGCAGCCGCGGUAAUACGGAGGGGGCAAGCGUUACUCGGAAUUACUGGGCGUAAAGGGAGCGUAGGCGGGAUAGUAAGUCAGAUGUGAAAUCCUAUGGCUUAACCAUAGAACUGCAUUUGAAACUGUUUAUCUAGAGUAUGGGAGAGGUAGGUGGAAUUCUUGGUGUAGGGGUAAAAUCCGUAGAGAUCAAGAGGAAUACUCAUUGCGAAGGCGACCUGCUAGAACAUAACUGACGCUGAUGCGCGAAAGCGUGGGGAGCAAACAGGAUUAGAUACCCUUGUAGUC
rnacentral:rRNA from 1 species